rnacentral:rRNA from 1 species
GACGAACGCUGGCGGCGUGCUUAACACAUGCAAGUCGAGCGAGGCCCCUCCUUCGGGAGGUUGUCCUAGCGGCGAACGGGUGAGUAACACGUGGGCAACCUGCCCUCAGCUCUGGGAUAACUCCGGGAAACCGGGGCUAAUACCGGAUACGACCUCCACGGGCAUCUGCGGAGGUGGAAAGUUUUUCGGCUGAGGAUGGGCCCGCGGCCUAUCAGCUAGUUGGUGGGGUAGUGGCACACCAAGGCGAAGACGGGUAGCCGGCCUGGGAGGGCGACCGGCCACACUGGGACUGAGACACGGACCAGACGGCUACGGGGGGCAGCAGGCGAGAAUCUGGCGCAGUGGGCGAGAGUGUGACGCAGCGGCGCCGCGUGAGGGAAGAACGCCUUGGGGUUGUAAACGUCUGUCAGCGGGGACGAAGCGAAAGUGACGGUACCUGCAGAAGAAGCACCGGCCAACUACGUG